GCCUCUAUAGCUCAGUUGGUAGAGCGCGGCACUAGUAUAUCUGUCACAAUAUCAAACGAUAUUUGACAUGAUUCCUGGCAUGCCGAGGUCUACGGUUCAACUCCGUAUGGAGGCA